rnacentral:rRNA from 1 species
AUGCAGUCGAGCGGUAGAGAGAAGCUUGCUUCUCUUGAGAGCGGCGGACGGGUGAGUAAUGCCUAGGAAUCUGCCUGGUAGUGGGGGAUAACGUUCGGAAACGGACGCUAAUACCGCAUACGUCCUACGGGAGAAAGCAGGGGACCUUCGGGCCUUGCGCUAUCAGAUGAGCCUAGGUCGGAUUAGCUAGUUGGUGAGGUAAUGGCUCACCAAGGCGACGAUCCGUAACUGGUCUGAGAGGAUGAUCAGUCACACUGGAACUGAGACACGGUCCAGACUCCUACGGGAGGCAGCAGUGGGGAAUAUUGGACAAUGGGCGAAAGCCUGAUCCAGCCAUGCCGCGUGUGUGAAGAAGGUCUUCGGAUUGUAAAGCACUUUAAGUUGGGAGGAAGGGUUGUAGAUUAAUACUCUGCAAUUUUGACGUUACCGACAGAAUAAGCACCGGCUAACUCUGUGCCAGCAGCCGCGGUAAUACAGAGGGUGCAAGCGUUAAUCGGAAUUACUGGGCGUAAAGCGCGCGUAGGUGGUUUGUUAAGUUGGAUGUGAAAUCCCCGGGCUCAACCUGGGAACUGCAUUCAAAACUGACUGACUAGAGUAUGGUAGAGGGUGGUGGAAUUUCCUGUGUAGCGGUGAAAUGCGUAGAUAUAGGAAGGAACACCAGUGGCGAAGGCGACCACCUGGACUAAUACUGACACUGAGGUGCGAAAGCGUGGGGAGCAAACAGGAUUAGAUACCCUGGUAGUCCACGCCGUAAACGAUGUCAACUAGCCGUUGGAAGCCUUGAGCUUUUAGUGGCGCAGCUAACGCAUUAAGUUGACCGCCUGGGGAGUACGGCCGCAAGGUUAAAACUCAAAUGAAUUGACGGGGGCCCGCACAAGCGGUGGAGCAUGUGGUUUAAUUCGAAGCAACGCGAAGAACCUUACCAGGCCUUGACAUCCAAUGAACUUUCUAGAGAUAGAUUGGUGCCUUCGGGAACAUUGAGACAGGUGCUGCAUGGCUGUCGUCAGCUCGUGUCGUGAGAUGUUGGGUUAAGUCCCGUAACGAGCGCAACCCUUGUCCUUAGUUACCAGCACGUUAUGGUGGGCACUCUAAGGAGACUGCCGGUGACAAACCGGAGGAAAGGUGGGGGAUGACGUCAAGUCAUCAUGGCCCUUACGGCCUGGGCUACCACCGUGCUACAAUGGUCCGGUACAAAGGGUUGCCAAGCCCCCAGGGGGAACUAAUCCCCUAUAACCGAUCGGAAUUCCGGAUCGCAGUCUGCAACUCCAAUCGCGUUAAAGCGGAAUCCCU